UACGGAGGGGACUAGCGUUGUUCGGAAUUACUGGGCGUAAAGCGCGCGUAGGCGGAUUAGUCAGUCAGAGGUGAAAUCCCAGGGCUCAACCCUGGAACUGCCUUUGAUACUGCUAGUCUUGAGUUCGAGAGAGGUGAGUGGAAUUCCGAGUGUAGAGGUGAAAUUCGUAGAUAUUCGGAGGAACACCAGUGGCGAAGGCGGCUCACUGGCUCGAUACUGACGCUGAGGUGCGAAAGCGUGGGGAGCAAACAGG
rnacentral:rRNA from 1 species